rnacentral:rRNA from 1 species
GACGUAGGGCGCGAGCGUUGUCCGGAUUUAUUGGGCGUAAAGAGCUCGUAGGCGGCUUGUCGCGUCGACUGUGAAAACCCGGGGCUCAACUCCGGGCCUGCAGUCGAUACGGGCUGGCUUGAGUGCGGUAGGGGAGACUGGAAUUCCUGGUGUAGCGGUGAAAUGCGCAGAUAUCAGGAGGAACACCGGUGGCGAAGGCGGGUCUCUGGGCCGUAACUGACGCUGAGGAGCGAAAGCGUGGGGAGCGAACAGG